AAUACUCCUUGGCACAAGAUUCUGGCAGUAAAAUUACUGGCUACAAUAUUUUGGCAUAAGACCCACAAUUUUGAGGAGGGGGUAAGUCAAUUACAUCGACCCUGGUGAUCAACUGGCAUUUAUUUUAUUGACCCCAAAGGGACGAAAGGCAAAGCCAGUCUUGGUGGCAUUUGAACUCAGAAUGUAACAAUAGAAGAAAUGCAGCUAAGUAUUUUGUUUGGUUGGGUAACGAUUCUGUUAGCUCACUGCCUUUCACAGCUAAAUUAUUAAACUCAUUGAUUGCCUAGCACUAAUUGUGCAUGUUCUAAGGGUGACUGCUGUUUAAUUCUAUAUGGUAGAAUCCAGCAAGAGUUCUUCUAAGAUGAACAGAUGCAAUAUUAAAAUGAAGGACAUGGACAAAACCAUCAUCUUGAAACUAAAGAUAGUCGUUUUUCUUUUAGCGCUAACUUAAACGGCUCAAGCUGCUCGCAGUAGAUCUCCUUUGUUAUCAUUUAGUUUGGGAUUAAAAGUUGAAAGUGGACUAAACCUUUCAUAUCCCAUCAAACAGAUAACAACACCUUACUUUUGCCUGGGGUGCCAGUGUUUCUCCUGUCUUUGGUGCUUGACAUUUUUAUAGAGAACCCAUUUCUCAUCACCAGUUACUAUUUGGUUCAAAAAAGGUUCAUUCAUGAGAUUUGACAGCAAAGAAGAGCACACAUUCGCUGUCUGUGCGUGAUUAGACUUGGAAAGUUUGAGGAACCUAUUGACCCAAUUUGCUGACUUUUCCGAUGGCAUGCACAGGUUGAUGAAUGAUUGAAUGACCAAAUCCAAGCUUCUCUGCUAGUUCCUCAAUAGUUACAAUGGAAUUUUGUUCCACCAAGAUUUGCAGGACGUCCUUGUCAAGCUCUACAGAUCUUUCAGGAUGAGGCUCGUCUUCUAAGCUAUAGUUUCCGACUCAGAACUUCUGGAACCACUGUUGACACUGGCUUACAUUUAUUGUCUGAUUCCCAUAUACUGCAUUAAUAUUCCUCCCACUUUCUGUUGUGUUGUUGCCUUUGUUGAACUCAUAAAGCAAAAUAAGCCGAAUAUGCUCCUUUGUCGCUUCCAUUAUAGCUUUGAAAAAAUAACUGUUAAAAUUGAACUGCACUCUUCAAAGCUUGCACUAAGAAUAAGGACAAGGUAAAAUUACUACUUGCUUUUAUAGCAAGUUGAUACAGG
rnacentral:lncRNA from 1 species